GGCCCUGAAAAGCCCCGUAAGCA
rnacentral:tRNA from 1 species